rnacentral:rRNA from 1 species
CCUACGGGAGGCAGCAGUGGGGAAUUGUUCACAAUGGGCGCAAGCCUGAUGACGCAACGCCGCGUGGGGGAUGAAGGUCUUCGGAUCGUAAACCCCUGUCGAAUGGGACGAAUAGCUUCCGGAUUAAUACCCCGGAGGAAUGACGGUACCGUUAAAGGAAGCCACGGCUAACUCUGUGCCAGCAGCCGCGGUAAUACAGAGGUGGCAAGCGUUGUUCGGAAUUACUGGGCGUAAAGGGCGCGUAGGCGGCCAUCUAAGUCAGACGUGAAAUCCCCCGGCUCAACCUGGGAACUGCGUCUGAUACUGGAAGGCUAGAGUUUGGGAGAGGGAUGUAGAAUUCCAGGUGUAGCGGUGAAAUGCGUAGAUAUCUGGAGGAAUACCGGUGGCGAAGGCGGCAUCCUGGACCAAUACUGACGCUGAGGCGCGAAAGCUAGGGGAGCAAACGGGGAUUAGAUACCCCGGGUAGUCCUAGCCCUAAACGAUGAAUACUUGGUGUGGCGGGUAUCGAUCCCUGCCGUGCCGAAGCUAACGCAUUAAGUAUUCCGCCUGGGGAUACGGUCGCAAGGCUGAACUCAAAGGAUUGACGGCUGAGAGNGCGAGACGACGACGAGGGAGAGG